rnacentral:rRNA from 1 species
AGCCUGAUGCAGCGACGCCGCGUGCGGGAUGACGGCCUUCGGGUUGUAAACCGCUUUUGACUGGGAGCAAGCCCUUCGGGGUGAGUGUACCUUUCGAAUAAGCACCGGCUAACUACGUGCCAGCAGCCGCGGUAAUACGUAGGGUGCAAGCGUUAUCCGGAAUUAUUGGGCGUAAAGGGCUCGUAGGCGGUUCGUCGCGUCCGGUGUGAAAGUCCAUCGCUUAACGGUGGAUCCGCGCCGGGUACGGGCGGGCUUGAGUGCGGUAGGGGAGACUGGAAUUCCCGGUGUAACGGUGGAAUGUGUAGAUAUCGGGAAGAACACCAAUGGCGAAGGCAGGUCUCUGGGCCGUCACUGACGCUGAGGAGCGAAAGCGUGGGGAGCGAACAGGAUUAGAUACCCUGGUAGUCCACGCCGUAAACGGUGGAUGCUGGAUGUGGGGACCAUUCCACGGUCUCCGUGUCGGAGCCAACGCGUUAAGCAUCCCGCCUGGGGAGUACGGCCGCAAGGCUAAAACUCAAAGAAAUUGACGGGGGCCCGCACAAGCGGCGGAGCAUGCGGAUUAAUUCGAUGCAACGCGAAGAACCUUACCUGGGCUUGACAUGUUCCCGACAGCCGUAGAGAUACGGUCUCCCUUCGGGGCGGGUUCACAGGUGGUGCAUGGUCGUCGUCAGCUCGUGUCGUGAGAUGUUGGGUUAAGUCCCGCAACGAGCGCAACCCUCGCCCUGUGUUGCCAGCACGUCGUGGUGGGAACUCACGGGGGACCGCCGGGGUCAACUCGGAGGAAGGUGGGGAUGACGUCAGAUCAUCAUGCCCCUUACGUCCAGGGCUUCACGCAUGCUACAAUGGCCGGUACAACGGGAUGCGACACUGUGAGGUGGAGCGGAUCCCUUAAAACCGGUCUCAGUUCGGAUUGGAGUCUGCAACCCGACUCCAUGAAGGCGGAGUCGCUAGUAAUCGCGGAUCAGCAACGCCGCGGUGAAUGCGUUCCCGGGCCUUGUACACACCGCCCGUCAAGUCAUGAAAGUGGGUAGCACCCGAAGCCGGUGGCCCAACCUUUUGGGGGGAGCCGUCUAAGGUGAGACUCGUGAUUGGGACUAAGUCGUAACAAGGUAGCCGUACCGGAAGGUGCGGCUG